AGUAAAAGCAUCAGAGGGUUCAAAACAAAUACAAGAAACUGAGGCUGUAACUAGUGCCUGCUACCUGAGGACAGCUUCCCCUCCCCUCCUCCUCACCCUCGUCCUCCUCCUGCUGACUACCUGACUUCCUCGUCUGUCCGCACCGCUGACCCGCACGCCCCGGCCCGAGAGAUACUACUCAGAUGGUCAAUUUACACAACGCAUUCUCCGUUCGGACAAGUGAAUGACGCAAUGUGUUCUAUGCCAAGUUGCUGCAGAUGACACAUGUUCCAUUGUGGCUGGUUUACCUGUGAAAAUCCCGAAGAAUUUUUUUUUGUCUUUUUCUAGAACGGGGCCAGAUUGACUCAGGGACCGAAACGCUGGAUCACAGUGAUUAAUUUCUUUCACCCUAAGUGUAUAGUAACACAGAAUAUUACACAUGGAGGUAAGACUCAUAACGAACUCUGAUGCCAGAUAACAUUGAGUCUGUCAGGACACGUUCCAAACAAGUUUUUCCUCUACCGUUUUAGUUCCUCAUGUUCUACUUUUUUGUAUUUUCAUGUUUUUUGAGUACCUGCCACAUGGUAACAAGUGACCAAAUUAAAACACUACUGUACUGAAUGGCUCAGGUUGACGUUAAAUCAGUUAGCUGGGGACUUUUAUAAUUUUCUUCAUAUUGUUAGACAUACAUAACUGACACAUUUUUUUAAGUUUAAGAAAAAGAUAAUUAAGAUCAAUUCAUCAACAAAUGUAUAGAUUUUGGAAAUAAAGGUAUUUAGGAGGAAAUUAGGAAUGAUUAGUCAACUGGGGCUGCUGCGCCCCCUACUGGGAUCAAACUGGUUCAAGUGGAGUUGGACUGGGUUGGCCUUAAACUUAAACGUGAACCCUAUAUUGCGGUCCUGUGAGGUAACAACGGGACCUGUGACAGAAUUAGUCCUCUUUGAUUGGACCCCAUGUUGUUCUGCUUCUCUACUCCUCUCUGCUUCAAAAUAUAGCACAGAACAGAGGGGUUUAUGGGUAAAGAGGGAGCAUCAGCGCGCCUUGCUCCACUGAACACGCUGCGGAGGCUUAUUUGUCGAUGCCCCCUGGUUUUUACACAUCCUUGAUUUUAGGUUUAACUGUAUAGUUAAUAUAUUCUGCAAAAUUAAGAUGUAUUAACCGCAUAAAAAAUAAGAGCGGAUCUCUGAUAUUGAAGUGCAGAAAUCGGACUAAAUGUAUAUUCUGGUAAAGGAUGUGUUGCUUUUGUUUUUUUCAUAUGCUCUGCUACAAUGUAGUUUCACAGGUAAAUUGAUAUCAUGUUAUUUUUGCCAAAUAUUUUUCUUUAAAUAAAUUGAUUGUCCUGGAUUAAGAAAAAGAUAUCAGAAAAAAAACAUGGCUUUAAAAAUGUAAAUGAACAGCAUAGUUGUUUAUUUUUCUUUGAAAUUAAAUGAAUUUUAUAUAUUUGUAAAUUUACAUAAUUAUUUCCCCACAAUAUUUGAGUGACUUGAGGUCAGAAAAUGUAUAGGUAAUUGUUUUUUUGUUCUCAAAUGUUUUAUUCUAUCUUUAAUCUACAUUGUUAGCACUUAAUAUAUGCUCCUCCAUGCUGUAAAUCACACCAGUCAUGCUAUUGUUUUUUUAAAUGUUAAUUUCCUAAAUGGGCGAUACAAGUUAAGUUUGAAGAUGUGUUAAAUAACUUCAGUGUAGGAUUUUACAAUCAUGUACAACUAGGAAUGUGUUUUUGAUAUCUUAAGUUUUUGUUUAACUUGUUCUCCUUUCACAUUUUAGUGAAGAAUGUAGCUUCUUCUGUGAAGAGCCAAUUGCAAUCUGAGCCUUUUUUUUUUACGUGGCAAGACAACAAAAAUAAAUAUGGUUGCAUUUAAA